AGGACAUUCCAGAGCAUUCCAUGGGGACACCUAUGAGUUUAUCCCAGCCCUACAGGUAUUUGUAGGGCACAGAGGAUAUUCUAGAGCAUUCCAUGGGGACACCUAUAGGGUCAUUCCCAACCCUACAGGUAUUUGUAGGGCACAGAGCAUUCCAUGGGGACACCUAUGGGUUUAUUCCUGACCCUACAGGUAUUUGUAGGGCACAGAGGACAUCCCAGAGCAUUCCAUGGGGACACCUAUGGGUUUAUUCCCGACCCUACAGGUACCUGUAGGGCACAGAGCAUUCCAUGGGGACACCUGUGGGUUUAUUCCUGACCCUACAGGUAUUUGUAGGGCACAGAGAACAUUCCAGAGCAUUCCAUAGGGACACCUAUGGGUUCAUUCCU